rnacentral:lncRNA from 1 species
AUUGCUUUGGAUGCUGUAAAAGAAGACUUCUAGUUUAAGAAGUUCAUUGUGAAACUUGGGAUAAUGACAUCGGAUGCCAUACCACUUUAUUAUAAUAAAAAUGGAGCCAUAGCAUUUGCUAAGGAGCCGAGGUCUCAUCAAAAAUCAAAGCACAUCAAGCGGCAAUUCCAUAUGAUCGUGACUACCUUGAAAAAAAUAUGUCGAGGUGCAAAGAAUAGACUCCGCGGACAACAUGGC